AUGGCCUCUUGGAAAGGGCCAUGGAACCAGUACUCCUCGAGUGACGACGACAUCUGCAGUCCUGAUGUAAGUGACAAUUCAUGGGGACCGCAAUCCACACCACCCUCUAGCCUCUACAGCUCUGAUGACCUCGAAUAUAUUGAGUUCAUGGAAGGGCCAAAGGAGCCAUCAGAGACCGACUCGGAGGAGGAGCACUCGGAGAACCAUGAAGAAGAUGAUGAUGAUGAGGAGGACGACGAGGAUGUCGAUGACAGUGAUGGCGACGAUGACGACUUUGAUGACAGUGAUAAUGACGACGGCGGCCCCAAGAAGCCGACAGUAAGCGGCAAGAAGUAUCCUCGCCAAUACAAUGGCGCAAAAGUGGCAUCCAAGAAGAAGGAGUAG
rnacentral:rRNA from 1 species